UACGAAGGGUGCAAACGCUGCUCGGAAUUAUUGGGCGUAAAGCGCACGUAGGCGGCAUUGCAAGUCGGAUGUGAAAUCCCUCGGCUUAACCAAGGAAGUGCAUCCGAAACUGCAGUGCUUGAGUACUUAAGAGGAUCGCGGAAUUCCCGGUGUAGAGGUGAAAUUCGUAGAUAUCGGGAGGAACACCCGUGGCGAAGGCGGCUUUCUGGGACGGUACUGACGCUGAGACGCGAAAGCGUGGGGAGCGAACAGG
rnacentral:rRNA from 1 species